GAGAAGAUAUUUGCAAAACAUAUAACCCAAAAGAGUUCAUAAUAUAUAAACAUGUUACAUAAAAAACUGAUAAAACCAAUUAAAAAGGACAAACGUGCACACGCGUGCACACACACACACACAUUAGGAAAAUGAGCAAAAAACAUAAGCCAUCAUUGUACAGAAGGGAAAAUAGAAAUGUCCAUAAAAACAUGAAAAUAAACGGGACCUUAGUCAUCAUAAACAUGAAAAUUAAAGCCACAGUGAUUUAGCAUUUCACAUAUGGUAAUAUAAAAUGGUAAAAUAAUUUUGGACAGUAAUUUAGCAUUUCUUAAAAAUGAUGACAUGCACACAUGCUUUGACCAAGUACCUCUUCUCCCAGGCAUGUGUCCUGGAACCUCCUGUUUAGGAGCACUAGAUUAACAUGAAGAGAUUUGCGUCUGUUAUGAGUUAUUGCCACCCAGCUCUGAGACCGCCAUUCUUGACCCUGCUUUGUGAUAUGGAGAUGGGCCCUGUGAACAGUUCUCUAGCUGCUGUCUCAAAGUGAGGCUCUGUCUCUAGACAGAGCUAGGUGGGGCACUGUAAAACAGUCGCAGGGGAGAGGUGCUCCCUUUUUUUGGUGCUUUUGUGCUGCUUGUAGCAUGGCAGCCAGCAAGUUGGUGUGCAAGAGGCUCAGUAGCAUUAAUCUCUGUGACUCUGAUGGGCCAGCUGCAUCCUGAGCCCCUGAAAACUUCUUGACUUCUUGGUGCACUGGACCAAUGGACCGGCUCUACCCACGUCUUCCAGCAAGUCCCUUCUCCCAGCAGGUACUGCUCCUGCGCAGUAAAGCCUUCUCCAAAGAGGCGGGGGUCUCAGCCUGGUUCUUCCUUGUUCCUCGUCCUCUGAGGUAGCAACUGCCUCAUCUUUUCCAUCUAUGGAGUGUGGAAUAUGUGCCCUACUUCAUUCAGGAAUGUUGGACAAACCAGCUAUUUAGAGAGUGAAGGAGAGGAACUUCCGAGAGCAACCGGCCCCCAAGAGAAACCCAGGGACUCCUGCCCUUCGGCAGCUUUGUCCAUGUGCUGCUCACACCAAAAAGCACUCGAGGGUGACCUGCACCAAAAAUGCAUUGCCGUAGUCUGGGCACAGUGGAUCACGCCUGUAAUCCCAGCUCUUUGGGAGGCCAAGAGAAGUUAGAACACUUGAAAUUAGCUAAGCGAGAAUGCCAUCAGCAGUGCAUCGAUCUCAGCUGCAUCCAGGUGUAUCAGUUGAAUGGCAGAGGGACUAGAAAUUACAUUUCACGAAGAAAAUUUACAGAACUAAAGAUAUUUAGGCUGCAAAAGAAAAGACUAAGGCACUGUGCUAAGUUGGACUUACAGAGAUGAAUAAGAUUUGGCCACAUCUUCAAGGAGCUCAGACCUUCAUGGACGUACCAAAUAUAUACAGAACUAACUCUACUGCUUAUCAUAAUGAGAGCUGUGCUAUGGAUAUUUGAAAGUUAGAGAGAUUUAUUUUCAACAGAAUAAUAAAGUCAACUUUCACAAACUGGUGACAGAUGAUCUGGGCCUUGCAGACAGGGGAGGACUGACAGAUUGAGAAGAGUAUUUGGUUAAAAACGGAUCAUAAACUGGUAUAAAUAUCUAAACAAACUCAUGAGAAUGAGCAGAGUCAGACACAAUAAAAUAAUUCAAAGAUAUAUCAGAUAAACCUGGACCCAAAAGUCAUGACUUUUUCUUUUCAGUUAACUCUGAACAAUUUACAAUAACUUCCUCAAUUAUUGUUUGUCUCAUUUUAACAUUUUGUAAUAACACCUAUGUCUCCAUAUUGGUAUGAAGAUUAAAUGAAAAUACAUCUAUGUUAGAUAGUCCCUAAGUUUCUGUCCCUGAUAUAAGUCCACCCUCCCCACCAUCAUGUGAUCACACGCAGGUGCACAUGCACAGAUGUAUACAUGCAUGCCGUUAUGGGGACAGUAAUUGCAAAUAUCAAUACUGUUAUGGUUGUUACUUCAGCCAUUGCACAAGUGUAGACCUCUGGAUCAACACACAUACGUAUGUGUAUGUGUAACAAAUAUAUGGCUAAUAAUGCAUAGGUUUCAUAGCUAUACCUUGAAAUCAAUUUAUUAAAGGGAUGUGUCCUUCCCAUGCUGACUCACCUACUGCGGCCCAAAAGCAACAACGUAAACUGCCCUGGAUAAAACAUCUGCAGACAAGAGAUCUCUAAGCUAAGCUACAGCUUCAUCAAGCAUGGAGUUAUCUCAUUUCAUAGCUUCACACACACAAAGGCGCGCGCACACACACACACACACACACACAGCUCUCAGCUGGAGACCGUCAGGGAAAACAAGUACCAGUGAGACCUGGGGAUCUUCAUUUGAUUUUGUCUACUGGGUGAGGCUGUGUUGAAAACACUUUGACAGAGGGCUCUUCUCUUGGGGCUCAUCAAAUAUUGCUGGUAGAGGGUUUGCUUGCUUUAAAUAUUCCUUUCCUCAGGUAACGAAGAAUACCAUGUAAUUUGUAAUGAUAACUUGGAUAAUGAAUGCACACUGUAGUCAGCCAUUACCAGUGGUAAUUGGUCUUCCUUUCAUCUCCUGUCAAGCAGAGUGGUUAGGAUUAGGACCAAAAGGCAGCUAUCAUCUCUCUCAUUUCCUGACUCAGACAAAAGGCAAAAAAAAAAAGGUGCCUGCUUGUGCUGAUAGGUGUCUGAUCAAAGCGGCUGAAAGCUGUCAGAAGCCAGCCAGCCUCAGCACCUGACUACUCCUUAAUGCAGCUUUGCCUUUGAUGUACAGGCAGUCCAACCGGGGUUCUAUUUAUGUAAAAAAAAAUAAUCAGGAUUGUAAUAGAACAGGAGAAAGUGUCAUUUUCUAUUUUGAUUCCAGUUUUGCAGUCUGACACCUAUAGGAAAUGUGGACUAAUUCUGUCCAGAGUAUGGUGUGUGUGUGUGUGUGUGUGUGUGUGUGUGUGUGUGUGUGUGUAACUCAAUAAAAUAAAAUAUCUUUGAAACUUCAUCAAAUACAUUUGGCAGUGAGCAGAAGUUAGAUUGCUGGUAGAAAGAAAUUAUCCUUCUUGGAAAGUAAAAAAAAAAUGCUUAAGUAAAAUUGCAGCAGUUUUGACAUGUGUAUUUUAUGUUUCAGAAAUUCUACAGGUUAUAGGUUUAUAAAUGGAGAACUGGUCUUGGAUUUAAAUGAAUUGGCAUCGUAUCUCAGACUUCUAGCUUUCUACCCAUGUGAAUUUAGGUGCGUACUAAUCACAUAUGUGUUUUAAGUUUAUCACUGGCUAUAUACAUGGUUACUUUUGUAUAUGCCUGUGCAUUGAAUGAAAAUACCUGGCAUGUGGUUGUUAUAAGCAAUAGACAGUUUUUGGCCAGAGAGCCAGGCAGACAAGUGUUAAUAUCACUUAAGCCCUCUGUGUCUCAAGUUCAAAAUUUCUAAAAUGAGUGAAUAUAAUAUUUGUUUGAAUUAAAGUAUACAAAGCAUGUAUCUCAGUGUCUAAGACAUUGUAAGACACCAAUAAAUGUCCAGUAUUUCUGUUGUUGUUGGUAUUUAUUUUUUAUUAAGGGAUUCUUGAAUUAAUACACCAUCCCUAGGGAAUUGCUGCCCUGUUUUCCUCAGCACUGUGAGCUUCUCCACGAACAAGACCGCUGUCUUUUAUGUCUGGGAUAGUUUGUUGAAUGAGU
rnacentral:lncRNA from 10 species